UUUAUAUUACGUGUGGAAAUUGUUACCAUUUUCGGCUCAAAAAUGGUAACAAUUUCCGCACGUAAUACAAA
rnacentral:miRNA from 1 species